rnacentral:rRNA from 1 species
CGGCGAAGUGAAGCGGCAACAGCUCAAAUUUGAAAUCUGGCUCUCUUUGGGGGUCCGAGUUGUAAUUUGCAGAGGAUGCUUUGGCAUUGGCAGCGGUCUAAGUUCCUUGGAACAGGACAUCACAGAGGGUGAGAAUCCCGUACGUGGUCGCUUGCCUUUGCCGUGUAAAGCUCCUUCGACGAGUCGAGUUGUUUGGGAAUGCAGCUCUAAAUGGGAGGUAAAUUUCUUCUAAAGCUAAAUACUGGCCAGAGACCGAUAGCGCACAAGUAGAGUGAUCGAAAGAUGAAAAGUACUUUGGAAAGAGAGUCAAAAAGCACGUGAAAUUGUUGAAAGGGAAGCGCUUGCAGCCAGACUUGCCCGCAGUUGCUCACCUAGGCUUUUGCCUGGGGCACUCUUCUGCGGGCAGGCCAGCAUCAGUUUGGGCGGUUGGAUAAAGGCCUCUGUCACGUAUCAUCCUUCGGGAUGACCUUAUAGGGGAGGCGUAAUGCAACCAGCCCGGACUGAGGUCCGCGCAUCUGCUAGGAUGCUGGCGUAAUGGCUGUAAGCGGCCCGUCUUGAAACACGGACCAAGGAGUCUAACAUCUAUG